CAAAUACUAUCUCACCAGCUUAAAUGUGUAGUGAAGUUCUUGCAUGUUGAGGACUGGAAAUUUUGUGAAUCCAAAAAGAUUUUAAGACUUCAAAAGAAGUGGCUUUUUAGUUGUUGCUCUGUAUGUCCAUCAUGGAGAGAAGAAGGAGUAUCAGAAUUAUUGCUCUAGAAGAGAAGAAGAAAGAAGAAAAAGAAAGAAAGAUGGCACUGGUAUUAGAAAAAAGGAACAAUUCUCACAACAAAGGUAAAGGAAUUAUAAUCAAUGAAGGGAAUGACAUGAAUUCAAGUGAUGAUGAUGAUGACGACGACGAGCAGAGUGUUCUAUUUAAGGAAGUACAACCGGUACAUAUAGGAAGUUCUUGUAUUU